rnacentral:rRNA from 1 species
AACGAACGCUGGCGGCGUGCCUAACACAUGCAAGUCGUGCGAGAAAGUUCCUUCGGGAGCGAGUAAAGCGGCGCACGGGUGAGUAACACGUAGGUAACCUGCCCCCCAGUCUGGAACAACUAGAGGAAACUCUAGCUAAUGCCGGAUGAGACCACGAUCCCUUCGGGGGUUGCGGCCAAAGAUGGCCUCUACUUGUAAGCUAUCGCUGAGGGAUGGGCCUGCGGGCCAUUAGCUUGUUGGUGAGGUAACGGCUCACCAAGGCUGUGAUGGCUAGCUGGUCUGAGAGGAUGACCAGCCACACUGGGACUGAGACACGGCCCAGACUCCUACGGGAGGCAGCAGUGGGGAAUAUUGCGCAAUGGGCGAAAGUCUGACGCAGCGACGCCGCGUGGGUGA